CAAACCCCAAGAGGAGACAGCCCAAAGAAAAAAGAAAGAAAGGAAAAAAACCCCAAACACACUCUCAUGACGAUCCUCAUCCACCUCU
rnacentral:ribozyme from 1 species